rnacentral:rRNA from 1 species
GACGAACGCUGGCGGCGUGCCUAAUACAUGAAAGUUGAGCGCUGAAGGUUGGUACUUGUACCAACUGGAUGAGCAGCGAACGGGUGAGUAACGCGUGGGGAAUCUGCCUUUGAGCGGGGGACAACAUUUGGAAACGAAUGCUAAUACCGCAUAAAAACUUUAAACACAAGUUUUAAGUUUGAAAGAUGCAAUUGCAUCACUCAAAGAUGAUCCCGCGUUGUAUUAGCUAGUUGGUGAGGUAAAGGCUCACCAAGGCGAUGAUACAUAGCCGACCUGAGAGGGUGAUCGGCCACAUUGGGACUGAGACACGGCCCAAACUCCUACGGGAGGCAGCAGUAGGGAAUCUUCGGCAAUGGACGAAAGUCUGACCGAGCAACGCCGCGUGAGUGAAGAAGGUUUUCGGAUCGUAAAACUCUGUUGGUAGAGAAGAACGUUGGUGAGAGUGGAAAGCUCAUCAAGUGACGGUAACUACCCAGAAAGGGACGGCUAACUACGUG